GCAUGGGUGGUUCAGUGGUAGAAUUCUCGCCUGCCACGCGGGAGACCCGGGUUCAAUUCCUGGCCCAUGCA
rnacentral:tRNA from 1 species